UGGGGAAUAUUGCACAAUGGGCGCAAGCCUGAUGCAGCCAUGCCGCGUGUAUGAAGAAGGCCUUCGGGUUGUAAAGUACUUUCAGCGGGGAGGAAGGGAGUAAAGUUAAUACCUUUGCUCAGUGACGUUACCCGCAGAAGAAGCACCGGCUAACUCCGUGCCAGCAGCCGCGGUAAUACGGAGGGUGCAAGCGUUAAUCGGAAUUACUGGGCGUAAAGCGCACGCAGGCGGUUUGUUAAGUCAGAUGUGAAAGCCCCGGGCUCAACCUGGGAACUGCAUCUGAUACUGGCAGGCUUGAGUCUCGUAGAGGGGGGUAGAAUUCCAGGUGUAGCGGUGAAAUGCGUAGAGAUCUGGAGGAAUACCGGUGGCGAAGGCGGCCCCCUGGACGAAGACUGACGCUCAGGUGCGAAAGCGUGGGGAGCAAACAGG
rnacentral:rRNA from 1 species